rnacentral:pre_miRNA from 18 species
UAGUCUCUUGAAGCAAAGUUCUGUGACACUCAGACUCUGAUUAUGAUAGAAGUCAGUGCACUACAGAACUUUGUCUCUGGGGGCUG